rnacentral:rRNA from 1 species
GAUGAACGCUGGCGGCGUGCCUAAUACAUGCAAGUCGAGCGAACUGAUUAGAAGCUUGCUUCUAUGACGUUAGCGGCGGACGGGUGAGUAACACGUGGGCAACCUGCCUGUAGGACUGGGAUAACUUCGGGAAACCGAAGCUAAUACCGGAUAGGAUCUUCUCCUUCAUGGGAGAUGAUUGAGAGAUGGUUUCGGCUAUCACUUACAGAUGGGCCCGCGGUGCAUUAGCUAGUUGGUGAGGUAACGGCUCACCAAGGCAACGAUGCAUAGCCGACCUGAGAGGGUGAUCGGCCACACUGGGACUGAGACACGGCCCAGACUCCUACGGGAGGCAGCAGUAGGGAAUCUUCCGCAAUGGACGAAAGUCUGACGGAGCAACGCCGCGUGAGUGAUGAAGGCUUUCGGGUCGUAAAACUCUGUUGUUAGGGAAGAACAAGUACGAGAGUAACUGCUCGUACCUUGACGGUACCUAACCAGAAAGCCACGGCUAACUACGUGCCAGCAGCCGCAGUAACAC